rnacentral:rRNA from 1 species
AUUGAACGCUGGCGGCAUGCCUUACACAUGCAAGUCGAACGGCAGCACGGGAGCAAUCCUGGUGGCGAGUGGCGAACGGGUGAGUAAUAUAUCGGAACGUGCCCAGUCGUGGGGGAUAAGGCAGCGAAAGCUGUGCUAAUACCGCAUACGAUCUAAGGAUGAAAGCGGGGGAUCGCAAGACGUCGCGCGAUUGGAGCGGCCGAUGUCAGAUUAGCUAGUUGGUGGGGUAAAGGCCCACCAAGGCGACGAUCUGUAGCUGGUCUGAGAGGACGAGCAGCCACGCUGGAGCUUGGACACGGGCCAGACUCCGACGGGAGGCAGCAGUGGGGAAUUUUGGACACUUGGCGCAAGCCUGAUCCAGCAAUGCCGCGUGCAGUAUGAAGGCCUUCGGGUUGUAAACUGCUUUUGUACGGAACGAAACGGCCCUUUCUAAUACAGGGGGCUAAUGACGGUACCGUAAGAAUAAGCACCGGCUAACUACGUGCCAGCAGCCGCCGUAA